AGUCACGCCUCUCGGUCUCCCGCCCGGUUCCCCGCCGGAUGCUGUGCGGUCCUGGGCAGGGCUGGUGACCCAGGAGCCGCAGGUUUUAUUGGUCGGGGAUCAACUGGGGCGUGAUGAAUGGAGGUAAAUAACCGCCGAGCAACCGGAAUCGUCCGACUCACGUCAUUAAUUAGCAACUAAUUUCAGAGUUGUCUCGGAUGGUUGAUGUCCGGAAAGCCACGUGCCAAUUGACCAAGGGUGGCAAGAUUAGGAAGAUGUAGAUAUCCAGGACACAGCCUGGGUAUGUGAUCGCCCACACUGCUGUGGUCUGCAAGAGAAAAGCCAGUCGCCUACUAAGUUAAACCAGGCUCUCUGUCUUCACUCAUCACCCUUAGAGGAUCAGAGUGGUACAAAUGUCCCCACUGGGGCUGAGCAUUCACUGGUCACUUACGCUCAGCACUUUUCACCAGAGUCUCUGCAGUAACGGCUGCAUUCAGUGAUUGAUUAUCUAAGUAGCAUGGUUCAUCUGGAAAAUUCAGGCACAAUAGACCAUUAUUAUAUGGUCCAAUUCAAUGGGAAGUGUUGGAGAGAGAGAGAAAAAAAUUCUCCUCUUGUGCUUGAGACCACAGUUGUGAUCAAGAAAUAAAAUGAGCCAAGAUGGAGGGACAGAAGAACAGUGUACGCACUCUAUUAAUUUUGGGGACCUGCGAAGGGGAAUGGACAGACCACUAAGUGGCCAGGACAGAAAGCUGCCGCAUCUUUUAGAGAAAUUCUACAUUGUAAAGAAGUGAGGGAUCUGAGCCAGGAAACGGGUCUCUUGCUGAACCUGGAUCUAGGCUGAAGACCAGCAAGACCCAGUCAUCCUCCUGUCUCCAGACUCUAUGGCACUGGGGUUACAGGCAGCCACACCUGAUGUUUUAAGGGUUUCUCUGUGUAGCUUUGGCGCCUGUCUUGGAACUCCUAACUGCUGAGGUGGCACACGGCUGUGACCCCAGCACUCCAGCAGUAGAAACAAGAGGAUUCAAAGUUUGAUGACAUCUUCAGCUACAUAAUUCCACCAGAAACCUCCGAAGUUCCAAUAACUGAAGAGAAACACAAAGCCUGAGAAAUGCACGUGCGUUAAAGUCCAGUGGCUCUCAGGGAUUCUAGGCGAAUAAAGAGCCCAAGGGGCUUUUCCGUACUGCCGACUUCAGUGGGGAAAACCACUCUGCUUGCGAAGCCAGCCCCGAGGGGAACAGCUCACAGCUGUGUGUGGUAAUGCUUGCAGAGCCAGGCUAUCAAUUUGGCCAGAGAUGGAAAAGGAGUCAUCAAGCAGCUUCUGGGGGUGGCAGCAGGUGCCCAUUGGUACUGUUGCCACAAGGAGACAAUCCAGAACCCCACGGCAAACCACUAAGGCAGACCCAGUGAAAGCCAAACAGUCCUAACAGAGCUAAGCUGGAAAUGAGCCUGUGGGGCCCUUCAUGAAUCAGAGCCCAUGGAAUUCACAGGGAAUCUACAGUUCUUAACGGUAAAGAAGGCCUGGGCGAUCCUUGCGUCUUUCCUAGGGUCCUUCUUACUAGCUAGCCUCCCUGGAGCUGUGGGUUGCAGUCUGGUUAUCCCUUGCUUUACAUCUAGUAUCCACUUAUGAGUGAGUACAUACUAUAUUUGUUCUUCUGAGUUUACAUGAGCAAACUGGGGGGUCAAGGGGAGUAAUAGAGGGCAAGAGACGGGGGAAUGAGAGCCUAGGGGAGCGGGAGGUUCGAGCUGGAACAGGAUCAGAGUGGGAGAACAAGGAAAGAGAUACCAUGAUAAAUGAAGACACCAUUGGGGUAGGGAGAAGCAGAGUGCUAGGGAGGUUCCCAGGAAUGCAUAAAGAGGACUCCACCAUAGACUCCUGGCAAUGGUCGAGAGGGUGCCUGAACUGGCCUACUCUGGUGAUGGGGUGGCUGAAUAUCCUGUCAUCACAGAGCCCUCAUCCAGUGACUGAUGGAAGCAGAUGCAGAGAUCCACG